GCCGUCAUCACAUUGGUAUCACACUCGGCUGUAAACCGAUUGGUCGCCGGUUCGACUCCGGUCGAAGGGA